GACGAACGCUGGCGGCGUGCCUAAUACAUGCAAGUCGAGCGCAGGAAACUGACGGAACUCUUCGGAGGGAAGGCAGUGGAAUGAGCGGCGGACGGGUGAGUAACACGUAAGGAACCUGCCUCAAGGAUUGGGAUAACUCCGAGAAAUCGGAGCUAAUACCGGAUAGUUUAACGGACCGCAUGGUCCGCUGAUGAAAGGCGCUUGGGCGUCACCUUGAGAUGGCCUUGCGGUGCAUUAGCCAGUUGGUGGGGUAACGGCCCACCAAGGCGACGAUGCAUAGCCGACCUGAGAGGGUGAUCGGCCACACUGGGACUGAGACACGGCCCAGACUCCUACGGGAGGCAGCAGUAGGGAAUCUUCCACAAUGGACGAAAGUCUGAUGGAGCAACGCCGCGUGAGUGAUGAAGGUUUUCGGAUCGUAAAACUCUGUUGUAAGGGAAGAACACGUACGAGAGGAAAUGCUCGUACCUUGACGGUACCUUACGAGAAAGCCACGGCUAACUACGUGCCAGCAGCCGCGGUAAAAC
rnacentral:rRNA from 1 species